UACGUAGGGUGCGAGCGUUGUCCGGAAUUACUGGACGUAAAGAGCUCGUAGGUGGUUUGUCGCGUUGUUCGUGAAAACCGGGGGCUUAACCCUCGGCGUGCGGGCGAUACGGGCAGACUUGAGUACUGCAGGGGAGACUGGAAUUCCUGGUGUAGCGGUGGAAUGCGCAGAUAUCAGGAGGAACACCGGUGGCGAAGGCGGGUCUCUGGGCAGUAACUGACGCUGAGGAGCGAAAGCGUGGGGAGCGAACGGG
rnacentral:rRNA from 1 species